AACGAACGCUGGCGGCAGGCCUAACACAUGCAAGUCGAGCGCCCCGCAAGGGGAGCGGCAGACGGGUGAGUAACGCGUGGGAACAUACCCUUUCCUGCGGAAUAGCUCCGGGAAACUGGAAUUAAUACCGCAUACGCCCUACGGGGGAAAGAUUUAUCGGGGAAGGAUUGGCCCGCGUUGGAUUAGCUAGUUGGUGGGGUAAAGGCCUACCAAGGCGACGAUCCAUAGCUGGUCUGAGAGGAUGAUCAGCCACAUUGGGACUGAGACACGGCCCAAACUCCUACGGGAGGCAGCAGUGGGGAAUAUUGGACAAUGGGCGCAAGCCUGAUCCAGCCAUGCCGCGUGAGUGAUGAAGGCCUUAGGGUUGUAAAGCUCUUUCACCGAUGAAGAUAAUGACGGUAGUCGGAGAAGAAGCCCCGGCUAACUUCGUGCCAGCAGCCGCAGUAAAAC
rnacentral:rRNA from 1 species